rnacentral:rRNA from 1 species
UAGGGAAUAUUGGACAAUGGGUGAGAGCCUGAUCCAGCCAUGCCGCGUGCAGGAAGAAGGCGUUAUGCGUUGUAAACUGCUUUUUGCCAGGGGAUAAAAAGACCGUGCGCGGUUAAUUGAAGGUACCUGGUGAAUAAGCCACGGCUAACUACGUGCCAGCAGCCGCGGUAAUACGUAGGUGGCAAGCGUUGUCCGGAUUUAUUGGGUUUAAAGGGUGCGUAGGUGGCCCUGUAAGUCAGUGGUGAAAUAUCUCAGCUUAACUGAGAGGGUGCCAUUGAUACUGGAUAGCUUGAGUACAGAUGAGGUAGGCGGAAUUGACGGUGUAGCGGUGAAAUGCAUAGAUAUCGUCAAGAACACCGAUAGCGAAGGCAGCUUACCAAGCUGUAACUGACACUGAGGCACGAAAGCGUGGGGAGCAAACAGGAUUAGAUACCCCCGUAGUCCCUGAGCGGGCUGGCAAGGCGCAU